AGCAACCGCCCACAAGAAUCCGAGCAAACCAUUCUCCGCCGGGGCAUGAGAAAAGUCCACAAGUGAACAAGAGAGCAACAGAGCGAGCUCCCGGAGGAAGCAGGAGCUGCAGGAAGCGCCGGUACCUUUGCUCCGCUGCCUUUCCCUACAAGCUGCCGCCAGACCCGGCGCCCUCCUGCCCACCUUCCCCCCUUCUCAGGGGCCUUUCCCGGGCUGCGGAACACAAAAGAACCGACUGCGAGGCGGCGCGCGAAGCUGGGAGCCUCCAGGAAUCCGCUGUCGCCUGGGGGAGGGGAUCGCCCCUGAGUCCUGUUGUCCGGAGCGCCACCAAGGCAUUUCCCCCACCCAGUCCUGUUUGAACGCCGGGUUGAGGAUUGGAACCUCUCCGACCCAUUCUCGGGAACUUAGCUCGAGCCCCGAUCCUCCAGCAGCCACGAAGCUCUGCUCAGUCCACAUUCCUCUUUGUUGUCCCUGGUCCCCGCAUUCUGUCAAGGUAUGCCCUGAGCGCUCCUGCUCUCCAUCUCUAGGAAAGCUGAAAUUCUCGGUGCUGUGUGACCCUAAGGGCUGACUGGAGCCAGGACUUCCAGCCCGGGUGCGUGCGCUUGGCAACGGCCGCAGGGAGGCGGUUUGCCCUUGCACCGGCAUCGCCCUCCCGCUGCGGCCAGUAGCACUGUGAGCUGCACAUAGGUAGCAGAUGGUGGCUGGUGGCCGGGAGUCCCACGUCCUGUCCCCCUCCCCCAGCCUACCCCCCACCUUGGCCUUUCCUGGAGUUUUCCUUACCGCAAAAGAGUUCUCAAGACCCAGACCGAACCUCCUCUCGCCGCCCUUCCCGAAAGCGGGCCGGUGGCCUGAAAGUCUCACAGCCUCCUGCUCUUGUCUCCGGAACCCAGCGACCUCCACCCCUCCACAGGAUGGAAGGAGUACCGGAGCGGAGCAAUGUGCCGCGGAGAGGAGCCGGCCACCGCCGCGGGAAAAAGUUUGCACGCUCUAUAACCAGUCCUCCAGACCCUGGGCUCGCCCACUGGCCGAGACCCACACCACCCUGCAGCCCCUCCAGCUUCGGGAAGACAAACUAGGUUCCCGCCACCUGCUGUGGAGGCAGAGGAAGACGUUGCUCGAGCUUCUCCACUCCUCAUCCCUGCCCUGGGUGUUCUAGAAGAGGGGGAGCUCAGCGCCCCGCGCUGGGUCGGCACUCGGAGCAACUCACCUCUCCGGUCCAGCUCUCCUCCGGGUCUCGGAACCCUCCAGCCCCUCGCCUCUAAGCUGGGCUCCUUCCACUUAAUUCAUGAAUUAUUUAAGGUCCAGCCCCAGGGCACCACAAGAGUGAUUGGGUGAGAGCCCAUCCCACUGCUCCGCCCCGGGUUGGCUAAGGGUGCCUGAGUCAGGACCACGGGACUCCAGGACUCUGGGAACCUGUUGCGUCCUCUAGGGUCUCUGGCAGAGGUUUGGGGAUGGAACUAAAGGAACACCGACUCCUUCAGAAACGUACUUACUCAGGGCUGAGCUUAAGGCCAGGUGCCGGGGUCUCCACAAGGCUCGGUAAUUUAAAGAGCAGGAGCCUAGGGCUCUGAGUCUGAGCGCACUGAUUGGACCUUCUGAGAGGCUACAAUGCCCUGGGGACACCCACGGGACAGAGCAUUUAUUUCCUGCUGAAAUCCCUGCUCAGUCCCAGAACACCCUUCUCUAUCACCUAAUCCUAAAUCGCUGCUUGGAAGGCCGCUAGCUCCUAAAAUCUCUAACCUCUACACUUUCCUGGCUCUUUAGACACGAUACCGGUACUCAGUGCAUUUUAUUUAAAACAACUAAAAAACAAACAAACAAACAAAAAUCAUCUAAGGGGGAGAAAAAUUGGCUGUAGUGUAUCCCUGUGCUAUCAGGGACAAACACAACGCUGGUCCUUUUGAUCAAUUACAUUCCUGGAUUCAACCAAAAGUGGGUAGAGAAUAGACCAAGGAAGAAUAGCGCCUCUGGGACAUUUUUACCAUCAAAGGAUGCGUAUUAAUUGUGUGCGGGUUGUUAGGUAGGUGGACGGAGAGAUGAAAGAAUGGCUGCACAGAUGUUGGAAGAAUAGGUAU
ensembl:antisense Gm16401 predicted gene 16401